rnacentral:misc_RNA from 1 species
CUGUGAAUGCCGGUCGCGCUCCGCGCCCUGCUCCGCCCCUUGCGGGCGUCGAGCGGUGCGGGCGCGUCCCACUUAUCAAACCACUUGUGCACCUGUCCGGGGGUGAAACCCCGUAUACACAAACAACUGAAAUGAAAUGAACCUUUUGGGGCGAUAUGCCUCUUAAACAUGUAA